GGCGCUUCUGCGCGACCUGGUCGGGCGUGGCGUUCUCCGGCAGCGCCAGCAGGAUCUGCGCGGCGUUGUAUUCGGUGGCGGCGCCG
rnacentral:tRNA from 2 species